GUUCAUCUCCUGCUGCUCCCGUCUAAAACCCUCCAUCACGCUCACAGAGACUGGAUCACCGGCUGUGUCUGGACUCCAGACUGUGUGCUGAGCUCCUCAAAUGAUGGCAGGAUCUGUGUUUGGGACCUUCAGGCAGGCCAGAGUCUCCGAGAAAUUUCCUGGAGGAGUCCUCUUACCUCCAUCUGCUGUGUGGGACAGUAUGUGAUUGCCGGCUGUGCAGAAGGGGCGCUUCAUGUUUGGAGCUGGGAAACUAAAGUAGAAAUCUGCCACAUUCCUGCACACAAACAGCGUGUGCACCACUGCUCAGUUGUUCAAAAUGCAGGGGAGGCUGAAGUCGCAGCAGAGGAAAUGACUGUUU